GACAGAGGGUGCAAACGUUGUUCGGAAUUACUGGGCGUAAAGCGCGUGUAGGCGGCUGCGCAAGUCGGAUGUGAAAUCCCCGUGGCUCAACCACGGAAGUGCACCCGAAACUGCGUAGCUUGAGUCUCGGAGAGGAAGGUGGAAUGCUUGGUGUAGAGGUGAAAUUCGUAGAUAUCAAGCGGAACACCGGUGGCGAAGGCGGCUUGCUGGGCCAGUUCUGACGUGAGGAGCGAAAGCGUGGGGGAGCGAACAGG
rnacentral:rRNA from 1 species